rnacentral:rRNA from 1 species
GGCGCACGGGUGAGUAACGCGUAUCCAACUUCCCUAGUAGGGCAUAGCCCGGCGAAAGUCGGAUUAAUACCCGUAUGUUGUGUCAUGAGGACAUCUGAAUAACACUAAAGAUUUAUCGCUAAGGGAUGGGGGAUGCGUCCGAUUAGCUUGCCGGCGGGGUAACGGCCCACCGGGGCGACGAUCGGUAGGGGUUCUGAGAGGAAGGUCCCCCACACUGGUACUGAGACACGGACCAGACUCCUACGGGAGGCAGCAGUGAGGAAUAUUGGUCAAUGGGCGAGAGCCUGAACCAGCCAAGUAGCGUGCCAGGAUGACGGCCCUAUGGGUUGUAAACUGCUUUUAUGCGGGGAUAAAGUGACGUACGUGUACGUUUUUGUAGGUACCGCAUGAAUAAGGACCGGCUAAUUCCGUGCCAGCAGCAGC